rnacentral:tRNA from 1 species
GGAACAGUUGUGUAGAUGGUCUGCACGUUAGUCUGAAAAACUAAAGGUAUAGGUUCAAUUCCUGUCUGUUCCG